GACGAACGCUGGCGGCGUGCUUAACACAUGCAAGUCGAACGAAGAGCGAUGGAAGCUUGCUUCUAUCAAUCUUAGUGGCGAACGGGUGAGUAACGCGUAAUCAACCUGCCCUUCAGAGGGGGACAACAGUUGGAAACGACUGCUAAUACCGCAUACGAUCUAAUCUCGGCAUCGAGGAUAGAUGAAAGGUGGCCUCUACAUGUAAGCUAUCACUGAAGGAGGGGAUUGCGUCUGAUUAGCUAGUUGGAGGGGUAACGGCCCACCAAGGCGAUGAUCAGUAGCCGGUCUGAGAGGAUGAACGGCCACAUUGGGACUGAGACACGGCCCAGACUCCUACGGGAGGCAGCAGUGGGGAAUCUUCCGCAAUGGACGAAAGUCUGACGGAGCAACGCCGCGUGAGUGAGGACGGCCUUCGGGUUGUAAAGCUCUGUUAAUCGGGACGAAAGGCCUUCUUGCGAAUAGUGAGAAGGAUUGACGGUACCGGAAUAGAAAGCCACGGCUAACUACGUG
rnacentral:rRNA from 1 species